AGGGGUUUAGCUCAGCUGGUAGAGCGGCGCGCUCCAAACGCGUAGGUCGGGAGUUCGAGUCUCUCAACCCCUG
rnacentral:tRNA from 1 species